AGAACGCAUGCAAGAAGCAGGUCUGCUCAGAGAUAUCAAGCAUUUCCUGAGCGGUUUCAUCGCUCUCGCUUGUGUUCAGAUACACAUGCGUUUCA
rnacentral:tRNA from 1 species